UAGCGUUGUUCGGAAUUACUGGGCGUAAAGCGUACGUAGGCGGAUUGGAAAGUUGGGGGUGAAAUCCCAGGGCUCAACCCUGGAACUGCCUCCAAAACUAUCAGUCUAGAGUUCGAGAGAGGUGAGUGGAAUUCCAAGUGUAGAGGUGAAAUUCGUAGAUAUUUGGAGGAACACCAGUGGCGAAGGCGGCUCACUGGCUCGAUACUGACGCUGAGGUGCGAAAGCGUGGGUAGCAAACAGG
rnacentral:rRNA from 1 species